AGCGAACGUUAGCGGCGGGCCUAACACAUGCAAGUCGAACGAGAAUGAGGGGGCAACUCCGUCUAGUAAAGUGGCGGACGGGUGCGUAACACGUGGGUAAUCUACCUUCCAGCGGGGACAACCGUCCGAAAGGAUGGCUAAUACCGCGUACGUCGGCGAGGGCCCUGGUCCUUGUCGGGAAAGACGGCCUCUUCAUGAAAGCUGUCCCUGGAAGAUGAGCUCGCGGCCCAUCAGCUAGUUGGGAGGUAAUGGCUCACCAAGGCUAAGACGGGUAGCUGGUCUGAGAGGAUGAUCAGCCACACUGGAACUGCGACACGGGUCCAGACUCCUACGGGAGGCAGCA
rnacentral:rRNA from 1 species